rnacentral:rRNA from 1 species
GACAUAGGUCGCAAGCGUUAUCCGGAAUUAUUGGGCGUAAAGGAUGCGUAGAUGGUUCAGUAAGUUACUGGUGGGAAAUCGAGGCCCAACCUCGUGGAAGUUAGUAAUACUGUUGAACUUGAGUGCAGGAGAGGUUAACGGAACUUCAUGUGGAGCGGUAAAAUGCGUAGAUAUAUGAAAGAACAUCAAUAUAGCGAAGGCAGUUAACUAGUCUGCUACUGACAUUGAGGCAUGAAAGCGUGGGGAGCAAAACGG